CGGGGUGCACCAGGCGCGAAAACUUUACAAUGCCGGCAACGGCGAUAAGGGAACCUCGAGUGCCAGGUUACAAAUCUGGCUGUCGUGAUGCCUAAAAAGCAUUGCAUAGCAAGGGCCGGGCAAGACCGGUGCCAGCCGCCGCGGUAACACCGGCGGCUCGAGUGGUAACCGUUAUUAUUGGGUCUAAAGGGUCUGUAGCCGGCCGGAUAAGUCUCUUGGGAAAUCUGGCAGCUUAACUGUCAGGCUUUCAGGAGAUACUGCCUGGCUCGAGGCCGGGAGAGGUGAGAGGUACUUCAGGGGUAGGGGUGAAAUCUUGUAAUCCUUGAAGGACCACCAGUGGCGAAGGCGUCUCACCAGAACGGACCUGACGGCAAGGGACGAAAGCUAGGGGCACGAACCGGAUUAGAUACCCGGGUAGUCCUAGCCGUAAACGAUACUCGCUAGGUGUCGGCCACGGUGCGACCGUGGUCGGUGCCGUAGGGAAGCCGUGAAGCGAGCCACCUGGGAAGUACGGCCGCAAGGCUGAAACUUAAAGGAAUUGGCGGGGGAGCAC
rnacentral:rRNA from 1 species